UACAGAGGUCUCAAGCGUUUGUUCGGAUUCAUUGGGCGUAAAGAGUUCGUAGGCGGCGCAGAAAGUAGGGUGUGAAAGCCCUCGGCUCAACCGAGGAAUUGCGCCCUAAACUACUGUGCUUGAGGAACCUAGAGGUGAGCGGAACUGAUGGUGGAGCGGUGAAAUGCGUUGAUAUCAUCAGGAACACCGGAGGCGAAGGCGGCUCACUGGGGGUUUUCUGGACGCUGAGGAACGAAAGCCAGGGGAGCGAACGGG
rnacentral:rRNA from 1 species